CCAGAAUAUGAGCUUUUAAAACUAGUAAGAAGGUUUGUAUCAGUGUCACAAAACGAACAAUACUUUGGAAGGGGAAGGUCCACUGAAUGUUAACUGAAUAUGUCUCAUCAGCAGGUUAACUACAAAGGAGUCUGAGGGUCACCAUGAGUGUUCCUGACCAGUACCUAACCAACAACUGUGAGAAUGUAGGAAGUGACCAAAUUUGGCUGAAACGCCAAACUGCAUAUCCUGACUGGGCUUGCAUGAUAAGCAACCAGACUAUACAUCAUAUUGCAAGCAAGUUUAAAGUGAGAUAUUGUUUGCAUAAUGAAUAGCAUAUCAAUCAAAACAAAUGCCAAAGACUAGGAUGCAGUAAAAAUAAAAAAACAUGUUUCAUGAAAAGACCAGUACCAAAGAAGAUGAAGAAAAAGAUCGCAGAGAAAGGAUUCUGAGGAAGACUCUACAUCAGAAUUAAGUUGUACAUGUUCUCCUCUUAUUUAUGUUACGGAAGACUGGCAAAUUAAGGAUGCUCAUACCAAGUGGAACAAAUCAGUUAUUCUCACUGACCAGGAACUGUAUCCAGAAAGAGAGAGAGGCAUUGUGAAGAACCAUGCUAUGGUAGCAGUUGGAAGACAGAGGCAGCAUAGUUGAAAAAAUAAUCCCUAAACUACGAGGAGGAAGCAAUUGCCCGAGAAGAGACUCCAGAUGAGCCCCAGAACUAAAGCAGUCCUGUGGAUAUAA